ensembl:lncRNA
UUUUCUCUGUGUGCUAAGGGCUGAUUAAUACAUGGCCAUUACACGUAACGUCACAAAGUAACGCAGGCCAGUUAUUACAAUGGAAGCCGCCAGUAACACUGAACUGUUUUACUGUGUUUCAGCACAAUAAAUCUUCAUGUGCACCUGAAUGAACCCUGUCGUCCUUCAGUGUGUAACACUAGGAACCACAAGUAAGCCUGCAGUCUGAGAGCGAUGUCCUCUGAUGGGAUUAUACGUGAAUCGAGGAUAAGCCAGUAGCCGUGGGACCUUUGUUGGUGGGCCGUUUUCUACACUUCUUUUGUCGUACAGCACCUUGAGUUUAUAGUUGGCUUUGUAUGUGUGAUUUUCUUCAGUCAUGGUCCUCAGCUACUGGUAAGUCCAGUUCAUUAUAUGGUGGGUUUAUUGAAUUUAGGACACUACUACAGGAUAGGAUGUGCCACAGUCAACUUUUAUCAACUUUUAUCAACGUGCUCUAUUCUUUAAAAAAAAAAAAAAAAAAUUGUUUUAACAAAUGCAGUUAUCCAUCCAUCCUCAUCCGCUUUAUCCGAAGUCGGGUCGCGGGGGCAGCAGCCUAAGCAGAGAAGCCCAGACCUCCCUCUCCCCAGCCACCUCCUCCAGCUCAUCCGGGGGAACACCAAGGCGUUCCCAGGCCAGCCGAGAGAUAUAAUCUCUCCAGCGCGUCCUGGGUCUGCCCCGGGGCCUCCUCCCGGUGGGACAUUCCAAAUGCAGUUAUUAAAGAACUGGAACAACCACCCAAUGUUUUCAUACAAGAUGCAGUGAUAAGUUUAAACAUCACCAGCGAAGAGCAGAAUAACGAACAGCAUCCAAGAGUUCAUUUAUAGCCAGGCUGAUAAAUCAGAUCUGUGAUUAUAACCAGAACUUCAUUUACCCAAAUACUAACUUACUUAAAUUCUAUAACUCUCUGUCUGAACUUCAGUUUUGUCUUGAUUGAUUUAGUUACAUUUUUUGCUGUGAUGAUGAACUGAGGCAGUAUUUUGGCAUUGCAAUUUCUUUUCUAAGCUUUUCUAUCCGAGUCCCCAAAAGAGG